UGAGUUUGAUCAUGGCUCAGGAUGAACGCUGGCGGCGUGCUUAACACAUGCAAGUCGAACGGGGGUCAUUUUGCGGAAGUCUUCGGACGGAAGUGAUUUGACUCGAGUGGCGGACGGGUGAGUAACACGUGAGCAACCUGCCUUUUGCUGGGGAAUAACUGUGGGAAACCAUGGCUAAUACCGCAUGUUGCGCCAACUGGGCAUCCGGUUGGUAUGAAAGGAGAAAUCCGGCAGAAGAUGGGCUCGCGUCCGAUUAGGUAGUUGGUGGGGUAAUGGCUCACCAAGCCAACGAUCGGUAGCCGGACUGAGAGGUCGAACGGCCACAUUGGGACUGAGACACGGCCCAGACUCCUACGGGAGGCAGCAGUGGGGAAUAUUGGGCAAUGGGGGAAACCCUGACCCAGCGACGCCGCGUGAAGGACGAAGGCUUUCGGGUUGUAAACUUCUUUGGGGAGGGACGAAAUUGACGGUACCUCCAGAACAAGCCACGGCUAACUACGUGCCAGCAGCCGCGGUAA
rnacentral:rRNA from 1 species